UACGUAGGGGGCAAGCGUUGUCCGGAAUCAUUGGGCGUAAAGAGCGUGUAGGCGGCCAGAAAAGUCCGCUGUGAAAACUCGAGGCUCAACUUCGAGCUGUCGGUGGAAACUUUCUGGCUAGAGUCCGGAAGAGGAGAGUGGAAUUCCUGGUGUAGCGGUGAAAUGCGCAGAUAUCAGGAAGAACACCCGUGGCGAAGGCGGCAUCCUGGACCGGCAUUGACGCUGAGGCGCGAAAGCUAGGGGAGCAAACGGG
rnacentral:rRNA from 1 species